rnacentral:rRNA from 1 species
AUACGGAGGAUCCGAGCGUUAUCCGGAUUUAUUGGGUUUAAAGGGUGCGCAGGCGGCCAUUUAAGUCAGCGGUUAAAUCGUGGGGCUCAACCCCAUUCUGCCGUUGAUACUGGGUGGCUUGAUUGCGGUCGAGGUUGGCGGAAUUCGUUGUGUAGCGGUGAAAUGCAUAGAUAUGACGAAGAACACCGAUUGCGUAGGCAGCUGACCAGAUCGCAAAUGACGCUCAUGCACGAAAGUGCGGGGAUCGAACAGGAUUAGAUACCCUGGUAGUCCGCACAGUAAACGAUGAAUACUUGUUUUCGGCGAUAUAAUGUCGGAGGCAAAGCGAAAGCGAUAAGUAUUCCACCUGGGGAGUACGCCGGCAACGGUGAAACUCAAAUGAAUUGGCGGGG